UAGAGUGAAUAGUCUGCUGUUCGUUUGGAAUAUAUACGAGAUUAUUUUGCUAUUACUAUUUUUCCCCUGUCAUACUUUAACUCCACUUGAAACAGUUGCUGAAAGACAAUCAAACUAAUCCAGCUCUGGACGGACGAAUGCGGACGGCUCUUCCAAAUGGCAGCUGCACGGAAGUCCAAGGUCAAGGUGACGAAAAGAAGGCCAGAGGAGAAAUCGAGAGAAGCAGUACAAACCUGCUGGACAACCAUCCAUGCAGGAGAUGAUUCAGUCAAUAAAAAAGUCUAAGUAAAAAAGGCCAGCCAAAAAAGGAACAUUAGAAAAUAAUAAUAAUAAUAAAAAAGAAGCAGAUGAAGACACUGAUUAUUUGUUUGUUAACUGCAGUAAUGUUUGUUUUUGUAUUUUAUUAAGAAAGAAAAUAAAAUUAAAGUGAUUUAUUUUUAACUACUGCAAGAAGGUUCUGCUUUUUGUUUCAAUGGAAUUAAAAUGAUUUGUUUUA